rnacentral:misc_RNA from 1 species
UCCGGUUUGACACCGGCAGUCUCGUUAGAGUCCUCAGCAUUACCUGGUAGCAACUAACGAUAGGGGUUUCGCUCGUUAAGGGACUUAACCCGACACUUCACAGCACGAGCUGACGACAGCCAUGCAGCACCUGUGCACGUUCCACUCUUGCGAGCGUCACUCCCCUUUCAGGGAGCUAAUCCGUGCAUGUCAAGCCCAGGAUAAGGUUCUUCGCGUUGCUUCGAAUUGAGCCACAUGCUCCACCGCUUGUGUGAGCCCCCGUCAAUUCCUUUGAGUUUUAGCCUUGCGACCGUACUCCCCAGGCGGUGCACUUAACACUUUUGCUUCGACCACGGGGGCGUCAGAGCCUCCGCGAUCUAGUGCACAUCGUUUAGGGCGUGGACUAC